rnacentral:rRNA from 1 species
UACGGAGGGUGCAAGCGUUGUCCGGAUUUAUUGGGUUUAAAGGGAGCGUAGGCGGUCUUUUAAGUCAGUGGUGAAAUCCUCCAGCUUAACUGGAGAACUGCCAUUGAUACUGAAAGACUUGAGUACAGACGAGGUAGGCGGAAUUGACAGUGUAGCGGUGAAAUGCAUAGAUAUUGUCAAGAACACCGAUUGCGAAGGCAGCUUACUAGACUGUAACUGACGCUGAGGCUCGAAAGUGUGGGGAGCGAACAGG